rnacentral:rRNA from 1 species
UACAGAGGGUGCAAGCGUUGUUCGGAAUUAUUGGGCGUAAAGGGCGUGUAGGCGGCCUGGUAAGUCGGGGGUGAAAACUCAGGGCUCAACCCUGAGACUGCCUUCGAUAGCUGUCGGGCUUGAGUGCUCUAGAGGGUAGUGGAAUUGCCGGUGUAGCAGUGAAAUGCGUAGAGAUCGGCAGGAACACCAGUGGCGAAGGCGACUGCCUGGGGAGUAACUGACGCUGAGACGCGAAAGCGUGGGAGCAAACAGGAU